ACCAUUGAGUGAAUGAUAGACUGAUGAGUCUUCUAAAUGUGCAAUCAGCACUAAUUUUUCAGAUUCCAGUGUAACAUAUUUCCUUGGUUUUGGCAUCAUUGAACCCUUCCAUAAGGGCAUCUCAGAUCUGUGAUCCAAUUCUUCCUGUCUACUAUCCAGAGAAAAUCAAUGGCUUCUUUCCAGAGCCUCAAUCCGACAGGUGUACUGAUGGUCAAACAAAAUGCAUUCAUCUAUUUGUGUUGAAGUGCAACAGAGCUAAUAUGACUGAAUUCUUUACUGAUGACUAUUAUAUCCCAGAGGCCAUAACUUCACAGCAGAUGAGAAACCAUUCCAUUUUCAGGAACAAUGGAGCUGGAUUUGAAUGGCAGAGCUCACUUAAGGUUUCAUCAAAGCUCCUCACCUAAUUGUGUCUCGCACUCUAAUGGCUUCAGGUGAUGUUGAACUGCAUUUGACAGAUAACCCCAUUUCUGACUUAAGAAAUGACAGUACUUUUUGAUGCAAUCUUCUACUUUAUAGAGCCUUUUUUUUAUCAUGUGUAUGUGUCUCCAGGGUGGGA